rnacentral:lncRNA from 1 species
UUUGUUUUAUAUUUUUUUAGUUGCCAAUGGAUUUUUUACUUUGUUUAUUUUUAUGUGGUGCUGAGGAGCGAACCCAGGGCCUCACACAUGCCAGGCAAGCACUCUUUCACUGAGCCACAACCCCAGUCUCUAUCCUCCCAUCUUUUCAAUUUCUCAAACUCCCAGUCAAAUUGAGGACUUCUUUUCCCUUUGAAGUUAACUUUGAUUUCAUCCAAAAACAAGGUUUGAGAAAGAUGUAUGAUUUACCUUGGAUUCUCUAAUCUUAAAAGUGGCCGGCAUGCAUUUUUAUUUUAAUUUUAUGAGCCACAAAGGAGGGCUCCAGAUUCUUACAUAUUCAGCAUGGAUGGUACAUUUUCUAAAGAAAAUAACAUUUUCUCACAGUCAUCAAGCUUUAAGUGGGGCCAAAUGGAAGUUAGAUCAUUGAGGCCAUGACCUUGAAAAGAAUAUUGAGACUCCAGCCUCUUCUUUUUUUUCCUCUUUAUGUUUUCUGGCCCCCAUGAGUUAAAUAUCUUUCUCUGCCACUCACUCCCUGCCAUGUGGUCCUGCCUUGUCACAGGCCCAAAGGCAAUGAAGCCAUGUGACUAUAGACUGAAACACUUGAAACUGAGCUAAAGUGAACCUUUCCUCCUUAUAAGUUGAUUCUCUCAGGUACUUUGUCACAGCAACAAAGCAAACACACCACCAUAUUAGCAACAUGUUAGAAUCAUUAAAAUGAUUCUAUCCACUGUCUCCAACAUAUGUUUUGUCUUGUCCCUGAAUCUUUGUCCCUGCGUAACUGCCUGUCCUCAAAAUUCUUUGCCUUGCAUUGUAAGCUCAGGCAUCGUUCAAAUCCAGCUCAGAUUCAUUUCACUUGUUCCAGGUCAUCUUGGACUUUUGUUUGUUCUAUCUCAUUUAGCACUUUAUACAGUUAUUUCCUACCCAUAAGUUCUGCUUCUUUAGCUAAAGCUCUUUGAGCAUUCACUCUCCUAUAACCAGGACUCCAGUAGCUACCAAAAAAGUCCAGGUGGAGUCACAGUGAUCCCUGCGAGUGCAGCAAACAGUACCCUGGCAGAAGAGGCUACAGUAGCACAUUCAACUGCAAAUUCUCAGAAUCAGUCACUCCACUGGAAUUCAAGAGUCUUUUAUCUCAGGAAUCUGGGUACUGACUUGGACAAUUAGGCAGAAAUAUAAUUGCUGGGCCUGGGAGACAUGGCAGGGCCUGGUCCUAGAGAACCACAAUGUGAGGUCAAAGCAGGGCUAACUGGACAUGAUACUAUGGCACAGGCAAAUUCCC